rnacentral:rRNA from 1 species
UGGGGAAUUUUGGACAAUGGGGGAAACCCUGAUCCAGCCAUCCCGCGUGUGCGAUGAAGGCCUUCGGGUUGUAAAGCACUUUUGGCAGGAAAGAAACGUCGCGGGUUAAUACCCCGCGAAACUGACGGUACCUGCAGAAUAAGCACCGGCUAACUACGUGCCAGCAGCCGCGGUAAUACGUAGGGUGCAAGCGUUAAUCGGAAUUACUAGGCGUAAAGCGUGCGCAGGCGGUUCGGAAAGAAAGAUGUGAAAUCCCAGAGCUUAACUUUGGAACUGCAUUUUUAACUACCGGGCUAGAGUGUGUCAGAGGGAGGUGGAAUUCCGCGUGUAGCAGUGAAAUGCGUAGAUAUGCGGAGGAACACCGAUGGCGAAGGCAGCCUCCUGGGAUAACACUGACGCUCAUGCACGAAAGCGUGGGGAGCAAACAGGAUUAGAUGCCCUGGUAGUCCACGCCCUAAACGAUGUCAACUAGCUGUUGGGGCCUUCGGGCCUUGGUAGCGCAGCUAACGCGUGAAGUUGACCGCCUGGGGAGUACGGUCGCAAGAUU